rnacentral:tRNA from 1 species
GGGAAAUUAGUUUAACGGUAAAACAAGGGCAUUGAUAGAUUGGAAUGUACGCAAGCUUAAAAGAUGUACUACCCUGGUUAUCGGUUCGAUUCCGAUAUUUUCCA